rnacentral:misc_RNA from 1 species
CUCAAAAAGAAAUAUACAAGCUCAAAAAGAAAUAUACACGGUUUCGCCACAAAAAUAUUCUUCAGAUAUACAAGGUUAGCGUUAAAGGAUGUACAGAGGAACCCAGUAAAAAAAAAUUCAUGCACUUCAGACUUGCACAAAAGGUUAGGCAGAAUUAUCAUCCAAUUGUGGGUCUUUGUUUAAUUCAUAGUUGAUGCAAGCAGGAUUCUAGAUAAUAUCAUGGUUCAAGACCAUGAAGCAUAAAUGCUCUUCUAUAUAAGGAUUCUUUCAAAACUUACAACAUGUUAAGCAUAAUGAGUCUUUAGCGCCCAAGAUUCUUUGCUUAUUGAGGAUGCCAUAUGCUUGGAGUUCAGCAAGGCAGUUAAUUGAAACAGGAGCCUUUUAGAAACUCUUGCCUCUCUCUCCUUGUAUUAAAGGCUUUUGAAAGCCUCGAAGGGACAUCAGAACUAUACUGUGAGAUGCCAAGCCAUAUAUUAGCAAUCAGUAUAUUUGGAUAUUCCAGAACCAAAUCUGCUAAUUUUAUAGUAGCAGUGUCUUUUAUAGUAGUAGUGCAGAAAAAUAAUUAAGCAAACACGUCUCACUUAUCAAGCAGGAUGUCAGACAGAUCGUAUAGGCAUAGCAGAAAACCAAGUACGAAAACAUGAAUUUUUUUUCUUUUUCUUUAUCUUCACCUGGAAGUCCGCGCAAAGUCCAUAGCCUAAAACCCUUUUCCUUAAACUCUCACAUAUAACACAGAAAAACAAGAAACCCCCAUCAAAGAAGCAAACAGUGGAUCGGAGGAGAUGCAGAAGAAGAGAGACUAAGCCUUGGAAUGAAGGACAGGAGAAAUCCAGAGGCAUAGAAAAUUGAAGAACGCGUCGG